rnacentral:rRNA from 1 species
CCUACGGGGGGCAGCAAUUAGGAAUCUUGCGCAAUGGGGGAAACCCUGACGCAGCGACGCCGCGUGGAGGAGGAAGUCCUUCGGGAUGUAAACUCCUUUUGUUGGGGAAGAAAUAAAUGACGGUACCCAACGAAUAAGCUCCGGCUAACUACGUGCCAGCAGCCGCGGUAAUACGUAGGGAGCGAGCGUUGUCCGAAGUUACUGGGCGUAAAGCGCGCGUAGGCGGGUUAUUAAGUGAGAGGUGAAAUUCCAGGGCUCAACCCGGGGACUGCCUCUCAUACUGAUAGUCUUGAGUGAGGUAGAGAGAAGUGGAAUGGCUGGUGUAGCGGUGAAAUGCGUAGAUAUCAGUCGGAACACCGGUGGCGAAGGCGGCUUCUUGGGCCUUUACUGACGCUGAGGCGCGAAAGCCAGGGUAGCGAACGGGAUUAGAUACCCCUGUAGUC